GACGAACGCUGGCGGCGUGCUUAACACAUGCAAGUCGAACGAGAAGAGAUGAGAAGCUUGCUUCUUAUCAAUUCGAGUGGCAAACGGGUGAGUAACGCGUAAGCAACCUGCCCUUCAGAUGGGGACAACAGCUGGAAACGGCUGCUAAUACCGAAUACGUUCUUUUGUCGCAUGGCAGAGAGAAGAAAGGGAGGCUCUUCGGAGCUUUCGCUGAAGGAGGGGCUUGCGUCUGAUUAGCUAGUUGGAGGGGUAACGGCCCGACCAAGGCGACGAUCAGUAGCCGGUCUGAGAGGAUGAACGGCCACAUUGGGACUGAGACACGGCCCAAACUCCUAC
rnacentral:rRNA from 1 species